rnacentral:rRNA from 1 species
UACAGAGGUGGCAAGCGUUGUUCGGAAUUACUGGGCGUAAAGGGCGCGUAGGCGGCUUUCUAAGUCAGACGUGAAAUCCCCCGGCUUAACCUGGGAACUGCGUCUGAUACUGGAUGGCUUGAAUUCGGGAGAGGGAUGCAGAAUUCCAGGUGUAGCGGUGAAAUGCGUAGAUAUCUGGAGGAAUACCGGUGGCGAAGGCGGCAUCCUGGACCGAGAUUGACACUGAUGAGCGAAAGCCAGGGGAGCAAACGGG